UCAUUAAAAAAAAAAACAGAUUCAGAAAUCAAAAUUGCACUUUCUCCCUCUGAAUACUUGGAAAGAAAUAUAGAACUCAAAAACCCAACCCUAAACCUUCUUCGAUACCCAGCGACCAUCCCACUUCAGAGUUCAAAUUUAUCGCCGAACUCUUCUCUUCGCGUGGAGGGUGCUGUUGCCGCCGGACGAAACCGACUGUGGUGCCGACGUCGUUUGUGGAACUGUCCUCUUCUCGUCGUUUCUCUUCUUUCGCCAUCGCACGAAGGUCUGCAACUCUGUGUUGCGCUCGUGGUGGUGAGGUCUCAUUGUGCUCUCUCUUUCUCUGCAUUGAGGUCUCAUCGUUUUGCUCUCUCUGUCCGAGCUCAACGUUCCUCUUCGAGCUCUCUCUGGCUCUCUCUGUCCGAGCUCAAAUCCGUCGCCGUCACUUCUUAUUCCUCCAUCGCCGCCACUUUCCUUCCUCCCAAACCGCCGUUUAGUUUGGAUUCUGAAGUCAGAACCAUGUUGCUGAGAAAGUGACGGCGACGGAGGAAUGAGAAAGUGACGGAGACGGAUUUGAGCUCGGACAGAGAGAGCUCGAAGAGGGACGUUGAGCUCGAAGAGAGAGAACGAUGAUACCUCAACGCAGAGAGAGAGUAAUGAGAUCUCAACGCCACGAGCUCAACACGGAGUCGCAGACUUUCGUGCGUUCUAUUUCAUGUUUUGCAGGUUUUGAUAUCAGGAAAUCAUGAUCAAGGACAAAACAACAAGCAUACAAUAUUCCACAACAUAUCAAGCACAAAAAAAAAAAAAAAGAUGUUGCACUUAUUGUGAAGUAAAACAAGGAAGUUCUCCUCAAUCAAGCCAAACGGUCUAUGUCAGAUUGUAUGCAACGGCUGAAGGAACAAAAGAGAAUAUUCUUUUUAAGGAAGAAAGCAACAAAUAGUUUGCAUAUCCAGCCAAUGAAGCUCGAGUUUUCUUCUUUAUUCUUGAGUGAUUUAUGGUAAAAAUUGGACGUAGGUCUCAGUGAAUAGGAGACCAAACCAUGCUAUAUAUCCUGGUGUCAACCUAUCUCUCUUUCUCUCUUCUGUGUUACGAGAUAAAAUUAGAAAUAAUCUCUUGUUUUUCUAGGUUAUGUAUAAUCUGUAAAAGUUACUAUAUAUUGUGUUUUCUUAAUUCAAUUCCCCUCUCUUAAGU